AAUAGAUACCCCGGUAGUCCACGCCGUAAACGAUGAGUACUAGGUGUAGGGGGUAUCGACCCCCUCUGUGCCGAAGCUAACGCGAUAAGUACUCCGCCUGGGGACUACGGCCGCAAGGCUAAAACUCAAAGGAAUUGACGGGGGCCCGCACAAGCAGCGGAGCGUGUGGUUUAAUUCGAUGAUACGCGAAGAACCUCACCCAGGUUUGACAUGCACGUGGUACGGAUCCGAAAGGUGAAGGACCCCUCGGGGAGCGUGCACAGGUGUUGCAUGGCCGUCGUCAGCUCGUGCCGUGAGGUGUUGGGUUAAGUCCCACAACGAGCGCAACCCCUGUCGCCAGUUGUAUUUUUCUGGCGAGACUGCCGAGAAAACCUCGGAGGAAGGAGGGGACGAUGUCAGGUCAGCAUGGCCCUUACGCCUGGGGCUACACACACGCUACAAUGGGCGGUACAACGGGUUGCCAAGCCGCGAGGUGGAGCUAAUCCCAUCAAAGCCGUCCUCAGUUCGGAUUGCAGGCUGAAACCCGGCCUGCAUGAAGCCGGAGUUGCUAA
rnacentral:rRNA from 1 species